rnacentral:rRNA from 1 species
GUGAUUUGUCUGGUUAAUUCCGUUAACGAACGAGAUCCUAUUCUGCUAACUGUUGCAACAGUCUUUGGAAUGUUGGUACACUUAGAGGGACAUUGCGUGAGUAAUGCACGGAAGAGUCGGGCAAUAACAGGUCUGUGAUGCCCUUAGAUGUCCUGGGCUGCACGCGCGCUACAAUGGCACAUGCCCCAAUGUACCUAUGUCUGACAAGAACAUAGGAUCAAGCAACGAUGCCGUGCCGGGAAUAGAUGAUUGUAAUUUUUUAUCUUGAACGAGGAAUUCCUAGUAAGAACAGAUCAACAAUCUGUGCUGAUUACGUCCCUGCCCUUUGUACCCACCACCC